rnacentral:rRNA from 1 species
UCCCAGACUCCUACGGGAGGCAGCAGUGGGGAAUAUUGCACAAUGGGGGAAACCCUGAUGCAGCGACGCCGCGUGAGCGAUGAAGUCUUUCGGUAUGUAAAGCUCUAUCAGCAGGGAAGAAAAUGACGGUACCUGACUAAGAAGCCCCGGCUAACUACGUGCCAGCAGCCGCGGUAAUACGUAGGGGGCAAGCGUUAUCCGGAUUUACUGGGUGUAAAGGGAGCGUAGACGGCGAUGCAAGCCAGAUGUGAAAGCCCGGGGCUCAACCCCGGGACUGCAUUUGGAACUGUAUAGCUAGAGUGUCGGAGAGGCAGGCGGAAUUCCUAGUGUAGCGGUGAAAUGCGUAGAUAUCAGGAGGAACACCGGCGGCGAAGGCGGCCUGCUGGACCGUGACUGACGUUGAGGCUCGAGAGCGUGGGGAGCAAACGGGAUUAGAUACCCCAGUA